CGCGGGAUGGAGCAGUUNGGUAGCUCGUCGGGCUCAUAACCCGAAGGUCGGNGGUUCAAAUCCUUCUCCCGCUACCA
rnacentral:tRNA from 1 species